AUUGAACGCUGGCGGCAUGCCUUACACAUGCAAGUCGAACGGUAACAGGUCUUCGGAUGCUGACGAGUGGCGAACGGGUGAGUAAUAUAUCGGAACGUGCCCAGUCGUGGGGGAUAACGCAGCGAAAGCUGUGCUAAUACCGCAUACGAUCUAUGGAUGAAAGCGGGGGAUCGCAAGACCUCGCGCGAUUGGAGCGGCCGAUAUCAGAUUAGGUAGUUGGUGGGGUAAAGGCCCACCAAGCCAACGAUCUGUAGCUGGUCUGAGAGGACGACCAGCCACACUGGAACUGAGACACGGUCCAGACUCCUACGGGAGGCAGCAGUGGGGAAUUUUGGACAAUGGGCGCAAGCCUGAUCCAGCAAUGCCGCGUGCAGGAUGAAGGCCUUCGGUUGUAACUGCUUUGUACGGUAACGAAAGGACUACUGGUUAUACCUCGUGCUUGAUGGUACUGGAAGAAUAAGACACCGGCUAACUACGUGCACG
rnacentral:rRNA from 1 species